CCUACGGGAGGCAGCAGUGGGGAAUAUUGGGCAAUGGACGCAAGCCUGACCCAGCAACGCCGCGUGCAGGAAGACGGCUUUCGGGUUGUAAACUUCUUUUUUCAGGGGAGAGUAUACGACGGUACCUGACGAGUAAGCAACGGCUAACUACGUGCCAGCAGCCGCGUUAAUACGUAGGUUGCAAGCGUUGUCCGGAUUUACUGGGUUUAAAGGGCGUGUAGCCGGGUCGAGAAGUCAGAUGUGAAAUCCUGUGGCUUAACCGCAGCACUGCAUUUGACACUGUUGAUCUUGAGUACUGGAGAGGCAGACGGAAUGCAUAGUGUAGCGGUGAAAUGCGUAGAGAUCAGGAGGAACACCAGUGGCGAAGGCGGUCU
rnacentral:rRNA from 1 species